rnacentral:rRNA from 1 species
GAUGAACGCUAGCGGCAGGCUUAACACAUGCAAGUCGAGGGGCAGCAUGAGACGGAGAUUCGUCGAAGUCUUGAUGGCGACCGGCGCAAGGGUGCGUAACGCGUGAGCAACUUGCCCGUUUCUGGGGAAUAACCGGUGGAAACGCCGACUAAUACCCCAUAGUAUUGAGUUUAGGCAUCUUUACUCAAUUAAAGAAUUUCGGAAACGGAUAGGCUCGCGUGACAUUAGCUAGAUGGCGGGGUAACGGCCCACCAUGGCGACGAUGUCGUAGGGGUUCUGAGAGGAAGGUCCCCCACACUGGAACUGAGACACGGUCCAG